AUAACAAUACAGGACUCUUUUGAGGCCCUGUAAUUGGAAUGAGUACACUUUAAAUCAUUUAACUAAGAUCUAUUGGAGGGCAAUUCUGGUGCAGAGCGACUCACCCGUGCAUGCUGCAGCUCAAA
rnacentral:rRNA from 1 species